CACGUAGGCGGAUUGCUAAGUCAGGGGUGAAAUCCCGGAGCUCAACUCCAGAACUGCCUUUGGUACUGGCGAUCUUGAGUCCGGGAGAGGUGAGUGGAACUGCGAGUGUAGAGGUGAAAUUCGUAGAUAUUCGCAAGAACACCAGUGGCGAAGGCGGCUCACUGGCCCGGUACUGACGCUGAGGUGCGAAAGCGUGGGGAGCAAACA
rnacentral:rRNA from 1 species